UUAAUCAAUAUUCAUGAUCCAAAUAAUACCAAAUCAAACAAAUCAAGAUCCACACUUUAUCAAUUUGCCACACAAAGUAUCAAAAUUUAAAAUUACUCAAGAAAAAAGAUGAGAAAUGAGCCUUAAUGUCGCUUUUCAAUCAAGUAUUACUCAAUUAAACAAGAUGAAGUCCACGUCAAGAACCUCGAAAUAAAACCUCGGUAAUAACCACCAGCUUGAAUCACCCCCAGCCCCCCAAAAAAAUGAGCAACCCCGAAACAAUCGUUUCAAAUUAGAAGCCUAAAAGCUAAAUCAAAUCAGAGCUUUGGCAGCAUCAACAGUGAGGGAACUCAACGAUUUGAGUCGAAUUGGAUCGUCGGAUUCGGUGUUUAUGGGUGGAACGGGUAGCUUAAUGUAUGGAGUUAGGAAGAUAAGAGGCAGGGUUAUUCCGAUGGCAGCAACAUUUUUCGCCUGAAGAUGAGACUCUUUGGAAUUGGCUUGGAAUCUUACAUAAAGUCCAACACUAAAGAUGAUGUCAGGUCUAAUUACAGUAAGAUACAAGAGAUACAUAAUCUACCUCUAUGUAUAUUCUCCACGAUCGAUGCAAUAGAUUUAUCAUGGUUUUGUUUUGUGGCAGUGGUAAUGUGAGUAUUGAUCACCUUGGAUUUCUCCAUCUUGAACUUCUCGAGCAACUCUUUCAUAUACGUUUGUUGGUAAUCAUGGAUCCUGUUGGAGUUUGCUUACUUUGAAGUCCUGUAAAGAAAUUGAGCUCUAUUAUCAUACUCAUCUCAUUUCUCCAUUCAUGAAUUGGGAAAGUUUUUGAGUUAUAGUAUUUUUAGUGGAUCCAAUGAUGAUAUCAUCAACAUAGACUAAGCAAUUGGAGUUUUUUUCAAACAUAAAAAGCAUGAUCUAGUUUGUAGACAUGAUUAGGGAGUUCAGUACUCUCAAAUAUAAGAGGUUGUUACACAUAAAAUUAUUCUUUUAGAUUUUCAUUUAGGAAUGUACUCUUCACAUCCAUUUAAUACAGGGUAAAUUCCAUGAAGGAGGUAAAUGCAACAAGUAGCCAGAUUUCCCCAAGCCUUGCCAUAGGUGCAAAUGUCUUAUCAUAGUCAAUUCCUUAUUUUUUAUUGUACCCUUGGACCACCAACCUUUUCUUAUUUCUUGUAAUAGUUUCAUAUUCAUCACGCUUAUUUCUGAACACCCAUUUUAUUCCAAUUAUAGUACUAUCUGUAAGAGGAGGAACCAGGUGACACACUUUACUUAUCUCUAAUUGAUAAUGUUCUUCAUAU